AGGAGCUGUCCUCCAUCUCUACGGCUAUUUCUGCUCCAACCAGCCUGGCGGCGUCUCACCGGGGAGAUCGACCGACGGAUCGUCAAGGGUCUGCUGCAGUGUUGCAGUGAGAUCGUACCAAAGAUGCAGCGGAGUGACGGGCGAAGAACUCCAUCGUCUCAGAAAGGAAUUAAACCAUCGGACACCAGAUUGGUGUCUGGCGUGCCGGGGGUCUGAUGCCGGUGACAUCACCCUCACAAUGAGUCCUCGCCUCCUAGCCUCCUCGCCUCCUCGCCUCCUCUCCUCUCGCUGUCCUUUGUCCGGCCGACAGCGAGCGGCCUUGUUCCCUCGGAGGCGGCGCCGCGCGGCACGCUCCGCUCGGUAAAUGAUGAAAGAGCGAGGGGGCCGGCCGGGCGGCGAGCUCGAUGGCCGCUCGCCGUCGCCCCCCCCCCUCCCCCUCUUCUGUGAUCUGUGGGAGACGAAGAAGAAGAG